rnacentral:sRNA from 1 species
UCUGUCAACGGUAAGCGAACCGUAGGGAACACCAUUAAGGAGUUGAAGGAAUCACCACA